AUUGAACGCUGGCGGCAGGCCUAACACAUGCAAGUCGAGCGGAUGAGGGUAGCUUGCUAUCUGAUUCAGCGGCGGACGGGUGAGUAAUGCCUAGGAAUCUGCCUGGUAGUGGGGGACAACAUUUCGAAAGGAACGCUAAUACCGCAUACGUCCUACGGGAGAAAGUGGGGGAUCUUCGGACCUCACGCUAUCAGAUGAGCCUAGGUACGAUUAGCUAGUUGGUGAGGUAAAGGCUCACCAAGGCGACGAUCGUUAACUGGUCUGAGAGGAUGAUCAGUCACACUGGAACUGAGACACGGUCCAGACUCCUACGGGAGGCAGCAGUGGGGAAUAUUGGACAAUGGGCGAAAGCCUGAGCCAGCCAUGCCGCGUGUGUGAAGAAGGUCUUCGGAUUGUAAAGCACUUUAAGUUGGGAGGAAGGGCAGUAAGUUAAUACCUUGCUGUUUUGACGUUACCGACAGAAUAAGCACCGGCUAACUUCGUGCCAGCCGCCGCAGUAAUAC
rnacentral:rRNA from 1 species